rnacentral:rRNA from 1 species
GACCAAAGAUGCCUUCGGGUGUCGCUUUGAGAUUGGCUCGCGGCCUAUCAGCUAGUUGGUGAGGUAAAGGCUCACCAAGGCAACGACGGGUAGCUGUUCUGAGAGGAAGAUCAGCAACACUGGAACUGAGACACGGUCCAGACACCUACGGGUGGCAGCAGUCGAGAAUCAUUCACAAUGGGGGAAACCCUGAUGGUGCAACGCCGCGUGGAGGAUGAAGGCCCUAGGGUCGUAAACUCCUGUCAUAUAAGAGUAAGGCAUAUUUGGUUAAUACCCAUAUAUGUUUGAUAGUAUUAUAAGAGGAAGGGACGGCUAACUUCGUGCCAGCAGCCGCGGUAAUACGAAGGUCCCGAGCGUUAUUCGGAAUCACUGGGCGUAAAGAGUACGUAGGCGGUCAGGUAAGUCAGGUGUGAAAUCCCGGAGCUCAACUCCGGAACUGCAUCCGAUACUGCUUGACUUGAGUAAUGGAGAGGCAGGUGGAAUUCUCGGUGUAGCAGUGAAAUGCGUGGAUAUCGAGAGGAAGACCAAUGGCGAAAGCAGCCUGCUGGACAUUUACUGACGCUGAGGUACGAAGGCUAGGGUAGCGAAAGGGAUUAGAUACCCCUGUAGUCCUAGCAGUAAACGGUGCGCGCUUGGUGUAGGAGGACUCGACCCCUUCUGUGCCGGAGCUAACGCGUUAAGCGCGCCGCCUGGGGAGUACGGUCGCAAGACUAAAACUCAAAGAAAUUGACGGGGACCCGCACAAGCGGUGGAGUAUGUGGCUUAAUUCGAUGCAACGCGAAGAACCUUACCAAGGCUUGACAUGUAUUGCUAAGCACGUGAAAGCGUGUGACCCUUCGGGGACCUUACACAGGUGCUGCAUGGCCGUCGUCAGCUCGUGUCGUGAGAUGUUUGGUUAAGUCCAGCAACGAGCGCAACCCCUGUGAAUAGUUGCCAGCACGUAAUGGUGGGGACUCUAUUCAGACUGCCCGGGUCAACCGGGAGGAAGGUGGGGAUGACGUCAGGUCAGUAUGGCCCUUACGCCUUGGGCUGCACACGUACUACAAUGCCCAGAACAAUGAGAACCGAUCCCGCGAGGAGGAGGAAAUCUACAAAACUGGGCCCAGUUCGGAUUGGAGGCUGCAACUCGCCUCCAUGAAGUUGGAAUCGCUAGUAAUGGCACAUCAGCUACGGUGCCGUGAAUACGUUCCCGGGUCUUGU